AUAACUAGCUUUGUGAGCUCUGGAUACUUAAUCCGUACUGAGGAGAAAUAUGUCGUCGGAUUGAGACUACAAAUUGAAAACUUCUCUUCGAGACCAAUGCGAGGAGCUAAGGGAUGUCAAUAGGGAAAAGGAUUAAAUUCUAGAUGCAUACAAGGGAGUCGUUAGCGACGGAAGUUACCUAGAUCCUGGAGAUAGAGAGAAAAAAAAGGUACAAAGUAAUGUGGAUCUGUUUGAUGGACGAGCAGCCUUGGUGAUCCAUGGGAAUAAAUACGAGAUUCAGAUCGAUGGUGAAGACAGGGGGAUUUCACUACUAUAAAUAGGAAGAUUCCGCACCUUUGUUACUGUUCAGUCGGUAGUUGCAAGCAUUCAAACGUUUUUUUUUUCAACAUGAGAGUUGCAGUUGUGAUUGUACUUCUUAUGGCGCUGGGAUUAUGCUCAUGUGCUCCAUAUCCACCUUUACUACCAGCUCACUCAGUAAUCUAUCCGCAUAACUAUGUAAAAGUGGUACCACUACAUCCGUAUAUAUCACCACUGUCGUACCACUCCACUAUACCAUGGGCGCAUCCAGGUCUCCUCCCUCACUACUGAUGAAAUACGAUUACAAAGCUGGUGAACACCACCGGAAUCAAUGAUCUGCUUCACACACUUCAAAGAUACAUUCUUAUUUUACGAUACUCGUGUUACUUUCGGCUUUUUUUUUCCUUCAAUCACAUUUUUUUUUAUCGCUCCAUUCUCCUCUCAACGACUGAUCGACCAACUCAAUUUCCGGUACUCUUACGAUCGCCAAAUUGCGUGCCACCUUUUAGACCAACAUCAAACACAUUUAAGGGAUAUUUUCGAGUGGCUUGAGAAAGAGUGAUGGCACGAGCGAUUUAAUCCCACUGGGCGGAAGGAGUUCCUGUUAAUCGGUUCCUUUGCUUCUGUUUGAUGAUCGGGGAUUGGAGAAGUUGGAGAACGAAAUGGAUUGGUUGAAUUCGUCUGAAGGAUUUGUAAUUAUGAUCUGUAAUAGUGUGAAUUGGAGAUAUUAAAUAAAUUGAGUAGAACGAACUUGGUGAGAUUUGUUAAGUUACAAUGGGUCCCAUGAACAUGUGAAAAUUGUCCGUUAGAAUGAAAAGAAUCAUUUGUAAUUUUAACAAAGAGCAUCAUACCACGAUCGAUAAUACCAAUAUAACAUUUUCUGUUUCGAUUAAUUGU